rnacentral:rRNA from 1 species
AGGACGAACGCUGGCGGCGUGCUUAACACAUGCAAGUCGAGCGAGGCCCCUUCCUUCGGGAGGGGAGCCCUAGCGGCGAACGGGUGAGUAACACGUGGGCAAUCUGCCCCUAGCACUGGGAUAACUCCGGGAAACCGGGGCUAAUACCGGAUAUGACCUCCGAGGGCAUCCUCUGGAGGUGGAAAGGAUUCUGGCUAGGGAUGAGCCCGCGGCCUAUCAGCUAGUUGGUGGGGUAAUGGCCCACCAAGGCGACGACGGGUAGCCGG